CUCAAUGAUGAGAGAAAAAUGCGUGAGAAACGGCUGACAGGUUCCCGACUCUCCAGCGAAGCAUUCCGGAGAAGACCCCUAGCUACUCACUCUGUCUGCUGCUGUGGAUAUUCGCCCUGCGCCUCUUGUGGUUCACGAGUAGAGGUGUCUGGACCAGAAAGACCCAGAGCCCUCACAGAUUAGAGGGAAACAAGAGCUCAGUCAGUCAACAAGUCAGGACAAAAAGCAACUUCAAGAACUGCAGUCUGAUAUCAAUCAUCUCUGUCAGAAAAGUGACUAUGACCAGGAGGACCCCACUCAGUCUUCACAUCUUUACCAUGCCCCAAUUGAGAUAAACAGAGAGAUGGAUUCUCUACUAAGAGACUCAAAUGAACAGAUUGAAACAGUGUCGGAUGAAGAGAGCUAUGGAGAAACAGAACCAAUAUCCAGCUACUACUGUUUUGCAGCUCAGGAUGUAAGAUGUGAA
rnacentral:lncRNA from 1 species